UUAAAAAAACACCCGAGCAGGUAAAAAAGAGAGUUCUCUGCGCUUCUGCAGACCACAACAAUCCAGUGCAACCAAGGCAGGACAAAACAGUGUAAAGUAACAAAAAAUUGUCAGUGCAACACAGAUGUCUUCUUAGUUAAUAGUUUUAUUUCUUAAGGUGCAUAACAGUGACUAACAUUUCGAUGUAGGGUUACAUCUUCAUCAGAG